GACGAACGCUGGCGGCGUGCUUAACACAUGCAAGUCGAACGGAAAGGCCUCUUUCGGGGGGUACUCGAGUGGCGAACGGGUGAGUAACACGUGAGUAACCUGACUUGACUUUGGGAUAACUUCAGGAAACUGGGGCUAAUACCGGAUAGGAGCUCCUGCUGCAUGGUGGGGGUUGGAAAGUUUCGGCGGUUGGGGAUGGACUCGCGGCUUAUCAGCUUGUUGGUGGGGUAGUGGCUUACCAAGGCUUUGACGGGUAGCCGGCCUGAGAGGGUGACCGGCCACAUUGGGACUGAGAUACGGCCCAGACUCCUACGGGAGGCAGCAGUGGGGAAUAUUGCACAAUGGGUGGAAGCCUGAUGCAGCAACGCCGUGUGCGGGAUGACGGCCUUCGGGUUGUAAACCGCUUUCGCUCAUGACGAAGCUUUGUGUGACGGUAGUGGGUAAAGAAGCACCGGCUAACUACGUG
rnacentral:rRNA from 1 species